AACGGACAAUUCUCCGUGAGCCUCGCAGUCGAAGGUUGGUUCCUUCCACUGUCGUCGGAUCCCGAAUCUUGCAUUUCUCGACGUCGAUGGCGGCCAUGGAGGAGUUGAGUUAGCUCGCGCAGUCCACAAGUCGCCGCCCUCCUCGCGGACGAGGACUUCGAUGAAAGAUCGUACAAGCGGCGGAUUUCCACCUUCCUCAACGUCGUCGUUCUCGGCAACGUUGGUGCUGGUAAAUCAGCAAUGUAGAACAGCUUGAUCGGACAUUCCGUAUUGGUAUGGUGAACUUGGAAUUGUACUUCUAGUUUGUUCAUGUUUCAUCAUUUGCGACCUGCACCUUUCUGUUGAUUCGAGAGGCAUUAACUGUUUACUGAAAUCAACUGGAGAAAAUGGUUUCACUCGGUCUCUUGAGAUGGCUCUAUCGGUGUUGAUUUGCAAAGAGAUGGCUCUCUGAGCAGUAAAUCAAUCAUCCUGCAAAUAGAUAACCAAUCCCAACAGGUUUCUGCAAGACCAGCUAAGCAAGGGCACAGAAGCUCAUAGUUCAGUAAAGAGCCAUGCAGAUGUGAUCUAUAUGAAACCCUGGACGGGUACAGGUAAUGGGGUUAUAUAAUAUUAUUUGUUUAAGGACAGUGAUUACGGUGCACAUACUGAUGCAAUAUUGCUAGUUAUAGUGCCAGCUGCGCAGGCACUAGAUAUUUCUUCUUCCUGAGCUGUUAGACAGGCUAAGGAAUUUGAUGCAGAAGAUUACAAGUCCCAGAUUGUUCAUGAUGAUUGUUUAGGCUUGGAGAACAAAUGGUGCAAAGUGCUGAAGGUACCAGGGCUAUUGCACUAGAGCUAUGUCAAGAAUUUGAAGAUAAGUUUCUUCAGCACAUUGCUACUGGUGAGAUCAGCGGUUGUCAUUUUUUCUUUAUAGUUUUAAUUUUAUCAUGCUCUAUGCAUACAACUUCAGUUCUCCUCUACUAUCAGUUUUCAUCCCAGGCAACUGUUUCUCUA